AUUGAACGCUGGCGGCAGGCUUAACACAUGCAAGUCGAACGAGUGGCGGACGGGUGAGUAAUGUAUGGGGAUCUGCCUGAUGGAGGGGGAUAACUACCGGAAACGGUAGCUAAUACCGCAUACCAUCAGAUGAACCCAUAUGGGAUUAGCUUGUAGGUGAGGUAACGGCUCCCCUAGGCGACGAGCCCUCGCUGGUCUGAGAGGAUGAUCAGCCACAAUGGGAAUGAGGCACGGGCCCGACCCCUAAGGGAGGCAGGAGUGGGGAAUAUUGACAAAUUGGCGCAAGGCUGAAGGAGGCAUGCCGGGUGUAUGAAGAAGGCCUUCGGGUUUUAAAGUACUUUCAGUCGGGAGGCGUUAACGACAGAAGAAGCACCGGCUAACUCCGUGCCAGCAGCCGCGGUAAUUC
rnacentral:rRNA from 1 species